CUUCUUGAUUUCUGCUUUAACUUCAUUAUUUAUCAAAAAGUCAUUCAAGAGCAGGUUAUUUAAUUUCCAUGCAGCUGUAUGGUUUUGAGCAGUUUUCUUAGUCUUGAUUUCGAUUUUUAUUGCUCUGUGGUCUGAAAGAGUGGCUCUUAUUAUA